rnacentral:rRNA from 1 species
UGGGGAAUCUUGGACAAUGGGCGAAAGCCUGACGGAGCGACACCGCGUACAGGAUGAAGGCCUUCGGGUUGUAAACUGUUGUCACGCUAUAGGAACCCCUUGGUGUUAAUAGCGCCAAGGCUGACUAAAGCGAGAGGAAGCAACGGCUAACUCUGUGCCAGCAGCCGCGGUAAGACAGAGGUUGCAAACGUUGUUCGGAAUCACUGGGCAUAAAGCGCACGUAGGCGGUCUGUUAAGUCAGGUGUGAAAGCCCCGGCUCAACCGGGGAACAGCAUUUGAUACUGGCAGACUCGAGGAUGGUAGGGGUGAGUGGAACUCCAGGUGGAGCGGUGAAAU